UCCGCACAGUAAAGUGGGCGCACCUUUUCAUCGAUGGAGGAAAAGUCGAUAUACUUGUCGAUCUAACGAAGCACGUGAUCCUAUGGGACCAGUUCCUCGAGGGAUACAAAUUCUGGCCGGUACAACGGGAAGCGAAACCGCGAGGUGGAGCGAAUCUUUACAAGCCGGUCUCAGUUCGGAUUGCAGGCUGCAACUCGCCUGCAUGAAGUCGGAAUUGCUAGUAAUCGCGGAUCAGCAUGCCGCGGUGAAUACGUUCCCGGG
rnacentral:ncRNA from 1 species